AGAACGAACGCUGGCGGCACGCCUAACACAUGCAAGUCGAGCGCCCAGCAAUGGGAGCGGCGGACGGGUGAGUAACACGUGGGAACAUGCCUUUCGGUACGGAACAACUGCGGGAAACUGCAGCUAAUGCCGUAUACGCCCUUACGGGGAAAGAUUUAUCGCCGAAAGAUUGGCCCGCGUCUGAUUAGCUAGUUGGUGAGGUAACGGCUCACCAAGGCUUCGAUCAGUAGCUGGUUUGAGAGAACGACCAGCCACAUUGGGACUGAGACACGGCCCAAACUCCUACGGGAGGCAGCAGUGGGGAAUCUUGGACAAUGGGGGAAACCCUGAUCCAGCGAUGCCGCGUGAGUGAUGAAGGCCUUCGGGUUGUAAAACUCUUUCGACGGGGACGAUAAUGACGGUACCCGUAGAAGAAGCUCCGGCUAACUUCGCGCCAGCAGCCGC
rnacentral:rRNA from 1 species